CAAUAUUUACAAUAUAAAACACAUGUAUUGGCAAUUUACAACACAGCACAAGCACAACAUCAAAUGCAAACAUUAUUACAUUUAGCAGUUGGCAUUUUCAGCAGAGUAGCCAUGAUAUCUGCCACAAAAGUUGAAAACCAAAUGAGCGGAAGAAGGUUAUCAUGUAGCGCAACCAUUUAAAUAAUUUAUUAAAUCAAUCUAAAAUGCUAAAUUCCUCAACUUGCAAAUCCCUAAAAUAAAAAAGAAAAAGGAAAAUUACAAAAGAUAGAGCAAGCUAAUAUAUUGGUCUAUAUGCUAAAGCAUAUUAUAGAAAAGAAAAAAGUUACAAACAAAAGAGCUUCCCCUUUGCCUUGUACUAAAUUUGAGUAUAUUAUAUUUCAACUUGAAGUCUUGAUUUACUCUUCUGCCUUGUGCUUCAUCAUCUUCAUCUUCAUCUUCUAUACAAAGUGAUUACAACAACUUAAAAGAAAAUUACAACAAGUUAACCUUUUAGGAUGUCAUUAAGUACACAAGUGGACACCCAAUAAUAUGCUUACUUAGGUAAAGGAUUACAAGUGAUGCUUUGGAUUUUUUACUUCUUUGUACCUAUGGCUAAUUAUCCUUUUUCUUUAACAUGUGAAUCCAGCCUCAACUAAAGGAGAGAUAUGGGAAAAAGACACUGAAAAUACAUUCAACAUGGCUGUCACACACAUCCUUUUUCUUUUUUUUUUUAUGUAUUUAUGCAUAUUUUCUAUAGUAGUAAUAGUAGUAGUAUGUAUUUUCCUGGCUGAUGCUGAGCUUGCUUCUUGAGAGUAGUAAUUUUUUUUGUUUUAGGGUUUGGUUACGGUCGUCAUCGUUCUUUCUUUCCUUCCUAAACUAAGGAAGCUAAACUACGUAACAUAACAUGCUGUCCAGGCCUACAUUCCAAUGGUGCCAUGUCCGGAAGGGAACCUAGGCACUUGGAAGUAACAUGAUUUGAAAGGAGUCAUGUCUAGAGUACUAGUUGACAAGGAGGAAGAAGGGAUCAUAUUAUUGUUAGCAGAGGAUGAUGCAUUUAAUCCAGCACCUUUGUCAACAUCUCCAGCAGCUUCAUUUGAGAAAGUUGUGAUGAAGUCCCCAACUGCUUUAGGUGAUGCAAAUGGACUAUCUGGGAGAUUAUGCUCCAAGCUUUCUUGAAAAUCACUUGCUUCCUUCUUGGAACUUUCUUUGCCACUGCUAUUUUCAUCUUUACCUGUGAAGCAUUCUCUCUCCUUGGCAGUAAGAUUUGCAUUCUUUUGCUCAGCAGUAACAGCAGCAAAAUUGACCAUUUUUGGUGCAAAACCAUUCUCUUCUCGGCUGCCAAAGUCUGUGGAGCGAACCAUAUUCUGAUUGAAGAAGCCUGGAGAAUGCGGUGGGGAUGGGAUAACAGCACUCAUGGAAAGGGCACGAUGAUGGUUGCUCCUUUUGACAUCAAGAAGCUGUAAAUUCAGCAAUCUCCUGCUUUGGAGCUCAAUUGCCUGUUGCAGAUCAGCUUGUUCUUCCAAUUUUCUCCUCCACAGCGCAUCUUGAGUGUUGUAAAACAUUCUUGCACCAAGCUGAAGAUCAUAAGGAUCACUGGAGUCCAGACCAGUAGGACUACCGCAUCCAGUGAAUUCUCCCCUCUCCAUCUGCUGUUGGUGUUGCUUCCUAAACUUCUCUGGGACUUUGCCCUUCUCUUUGUAAGGCUUGACAAGCACCCUAGCAUCACAUACAAAAUGAGGAUUUCCUUUGGCAAGAAUGGUCUUCACAGUCUCUGGAUAAACAAAUGUAACAAAACCAAACAUCCUCUUUUGCUGAUAUGGAAUCCUCACAUCUUGAACAGGCCCAUAAGUGCUGAAAUAAUUGGAAACAUCCUCUUUUGCUGAUAUGGAAUCCUCACAUCUUGAACAGGCCCAUAAGUGCUGAAAUAAUUGG
rnacentral:misc_RNA from 1 species